CGACCGGCGCACGGGUGCGUAACGCGUAUGCAACCUACCUUUAACAGGGGGAUAACACUGAGAAAUUGGUACUAAUACCCCAUAAUAUCAUAGAAGGCAUCUUUUAUGGUUGAAAAUUCCGAUGGUUAGAGAUGGGGCAUGCGUUGUAUUAGCUAGUUGGUGGGGUAACGGCUCACCAAGGCGACGAUACAUAGGGGGACUGAGAGGUUAACCCCCACACUGGUACUGAGACACGGACCAG
rnacentral:rRNA from 1 species